rnacentral:piRNA from 1 species
UCCAUGCUGGUAGAUAUAGUCUGGGGAUACC